rnacentral:rRNA from 1 species
GACGAACGCUGGCGGCGUGCCUAAUACAUGCAAGUCGAGCGGACUUUCAAGAAGCUUGCUUUUUGAAAGUUAGCGGCGGACGGGUGAGUAACACGUGGGCAACCUGCCUGCAAGACGGGGAUAACUCCGGGAAACCGGGGCUAAUACCGGAUAAUAUCUUCCUUCGCAUGAAGGAAGGUUGAAAGGCGGCGCACGCUGCCGCUUGCAGAUGGGCCCGCGGCGCAUUAGCUAGUUGGUGAGGUAACGGCUCACCAAGGCGACGAUGCGUAGCCGACCUGAGAGGGUGAUCGGCCACACUGGGACUGAGACACGGCCCAGACUCCUACGGGAGGCAGCAGUAGGGAAUCUUCCGCAAGGGACGAAAGUCUGACGGAGCAACGCCGCGUGAGCGAAGAAGGGCUUCGGAUCGUAAAGCUCUGUUGUCAGGGAAGAACAAGUACCGUUCGAACAGGGCGGUACCUUGACGGUACCUGACCAGAAAGCCACGGCUAACUACGUG